rnacentral:rRNA from 1 species
UACGUAGGUCCCGAGCGUUGUCCGGAUUUAUUGGGCGUAAAGCGAGCGCAGGUGGUUUAUUAAGUCUGGUGUAAAAGGCAGUGGCUCAACCAUUGUAUGCAUUGGAAACUGGUAGACUUGAGUGCAGGAGAGGAGAGUGGAAUUCCAUGUGUAGCGGUGAAAUGCGUAGGUAUAUGGAGGAACACCGGUGGCGAAAGCGGCUCUCUGGCCUGUAACUGACACUGAGGCUCGAAAGCGUGGGGAGCAAACAGG